rnacentral:rRNA from 1 species
CCUACGGGCGGCAGCAGUAGGGAAUCUUUCACAAUGGGCGAAAGCCUGAUGGAGCAACGCCGCGUGCAGGAUGAAGGCCUUCGGGUUGUAAACUGCUUUUAUAAGCGAGAAAUAUGAUGGUAACUUAUGAAUAAGGAUCGGCUAACUACGUGCCAGCAGCCGCGGUCAUACGUAGGAUCCGAGCAUUAUCCGGAGUGACUGGGGGUAAAGAGUUGCGUAGGUGGCAUAAUAAGUAGCUAGUGAAAUCUGGUGGCUCAACCAUUCAGACGAUUAGCUAAACUGUUAAGCUCGAGACCGUUAGGGGUAACUGGAAUUUCUGGUGUAGGAGUGAAAUCCGUAGAUAUUAGGAGGAACACCCAUGGCGUAGGCAGGUUGCUGGAACGGUUCUGACACUAAGGCACGAAAGCGUAGGGAGCAAACGGGAUUAGAUACCCCAGUAGUC